AUUGAACGCUGGCGGCAGGCCUAACACAUGCAAGUCGAACGAGUGGCGGACGGGUGAGUAAUGUCUGGGAAACUGCCCGAUGGAGGGGGGUAACUACUGGAAACGGUAGCUAAUACCGCAUACCAUCGGAUGUGCCCAGAUGGGAUUAGCUAGUAGGUGGGGUAACGGCGCACCAGGGCGACGAUCCCUAGCUGGUCUGAGAGGAUGACCAGCCACACUGGAACUGAGACACGGCCCAGAUCCCUACGGGAGGCACAAGUGGGGAAUAUUGCACAAUGGGCGAAAGCCUGAUGCAGCCAGGCCGCGUGUAGGAAGAAGGCCUUCGGGUUGUAAAGUACUUUCAGCGAGGAGGCGUUACCCGCAGAAGAAGCACCGGCUAACUCCGUGCCAGCCGCCGCGGUAAUAC
rnacentral:rRNA from 1 species